UUGAUCCUGGCUCAGGAUGAACGCUGGCGGCGUGCCUAAUACAUGCAAGUCGAACGAGAACCCUUGGAUUCGUCUGGGGGGGAGAGUGGCGAACUGGUGAGUAACACGUGGGUGGCCUGCCCCGAAGACGGGGAUAACCGUUGGAAACGACGGCUAAUACCCGAUAUACUCGGUGAUUCGGUUCAUCGAGUAAAGGCUCCGGUGCUUCGGGAUGGGCCUGCGGCCUAUCAGCUAGUUGGUGGGGUAAUGGCCCACCAAGGCGAAGACGGGUAGGGGGCGCGAGAGCGCGGNCCCCCACACUGGCACUGAGAUACGGGCCAGACUUCUACGGAAGGCAGCAGUCGGGGAUAUUGCACAAUCGGCGAAAGCCGGAUGCAGCGACGCCGCGUGGGCGAUGAAGGCCUUCGGGUUGUAAAGCCCUUUUAUGGGGGAAGAGACAAGGACGGUACCCCAAGAAUAAGCGUCGGCUAACUACGUGCCAGCAGCCGCGGUAAAACCGUAGGACACAAGCGUUAUCCGGAUUUACUGGGCGUAAAGAGCGUUGAGGCGGUUCCGUAAGUUGGGCGUGAAAGCCCCGGGCUUAAACCCGGGGAGGUCGUUCAAUACUGCGGGACUUGAGGGCAGCAGAGGGAGGUGGAAUUCCCGGUGUAGCGGUGAAAUGCGUAGAUAUCGGGAGGAACGCCAGUGGCGAAGGCGGCCUCCUGGGCUGUUUCUGACGCUGAAGGCGAAAGCUAGGGGAGCGAACGGGAUUAGAAAACCCCGGUAGUCC
rnacentral:rRNA from 1 species